rnacentral:rRNA from 1 species
UACGUAGGUGGCGAGCGUUGUCCGGAUUUAUUGGGCGUAAAGCGCGCGCAGGUGGUCCGUUAAGUCCUGUGUGAAAUCUCCCGGCUCACCCGGGAGGGGGCGCGGGAUACUGGGGGACUGGAGGCAGGCAGAGGCCGGUGGAAUUCCCGGUGUAGUGGUGAAAUGCGUAGAGAUCCGGAGGAACACCAGUGGCGAAGGCGGCUGGCUGGACCUGACCUGACGCUGAGGCGCGAAGGCGUGGGGAGCGAACGGG